ensembl:misc_RNA 7SK 7SK RNA
GGAUGUGAGGGUGAUCUGGCUUCGAUAUCUAUCACCCCAUUAAUCACCAGGGUUGGUUCGGCUGAUCUGGCUGCCUAGGUGGGUCCUCCCUCACUGCUCCACUCGUGUUCCUCCUGAAGCUGCACUCAGUGGAAGAGGACAACCUUCCCUGAAUAGAGGAGAACCUGUCUUCAGUCAAGGGUAUGCGAGUAGCUGUGCUCCCCUGCUAGAACCUCUGAAAACAGUUGUUCUUAAAGAGCUACUUACCUUUCUCCACAAUAUUAUUAGGUUCCUUCUCUGA